rnacentral:rRNA from 1 species
AGCGAACGCUGGCGGCAGGCUUAACACAUGCAAGUCGAACGGGCACUUCGGUGUCAGUGGCAGACGGGUGAGUAACACGUGGGAACGUACCUCUUGGUUCGGAACAACACAGGGAAACUUGUGCUAAUACCGGAUAAGCCCUUACGGGGAAAGAUUUAUCGCCGAGAGAUCGGCCCGCGUCUGAUUAGCUAGUUGGUAGGGUAAUGGCCUACCAAGGCGACGAUCAGUAGCUGGUCUGAGAGGAUGAUCAGCCACAUUGGGACUGAGACACGGCCCAAACUCCUACGGGAGGCAGCAGUGGGGAAUAUUGGACAAUGGGGGCAACCCUGAUCCAGCCAUGCCGCGUGAGUGAUGAAGGCCCUAGGGUUGUAAAGCUCUUUUGUGCGGGAAGAUAAUGACGGUACCGCAAGAAUAAGCCCCGGCUAACUUCGUGCCAGCAGCCGCCGUAAGAC